rnacentral:rRNA from 1 species
GACGAACGCUGGCGGCGUGCCUGACACAUGCAAGUCGGACGGUUCUUGUACCUUCAAGCUUGCUUGUUGGUGCAAGGAUAGUGGCGGACGGGUGAGUAACGCGUGAACAUCUACCCAUUGGAGGGGGACAACCCGUCGAAAGGCGGGCUAAUACCGCGUAAGCCGCGAGGUGAGAGGCUGCCUAUUGGUGGCCGCCGAUGGAUGGGUUCGCGUCCUAUCAGCUGGUUGGUGGGGUAACGGCCUACCAAGGCGAAGACGGGUAGCCGGUCUGAGAGGAUGGCCGGCCACACUGGAACUGAGACACGGUCCAGACUCCUACGGGAGGCAGCAGUGGGGAAUAUUGCGCAAUGGGGGGAACCCUGACGCAGCAACGCCGCGUGGAGGAAGAAGGUCUUCGGAUUGUAAACUCCUGUCUUCUGGGACGAAUAAUGACGGUACCAGAGGAGGAAGCCACGGCUAACUACGUGCCAGCAGCGCGGUAAGCACGAGAGUA